rnacentral:rRNA from 1 species
UUAAGCGACUAAGCGUACACGGUGGAUGCCCUGGCAGUCAGAGGCGAUGAAGGACGUGCUAAUCUGCGAUAAGCGUCGGUAAGGUGAUAUGAACCGUUAUAACCGGCGAUUUCCGAAUGGGGAAACCCAGUGUGUUUCGACACACUAUCAUUAACUGAAUCCAUAGGUUAAUGAGGCGAACCGGGGGAACUGAAACAUCUAAGUACCCCGAGGAAAAGAAAUCAACCGAGAUUCCCCCAGUAGCGGCGAGCGAACGGGGAGCAGCCCAGAGCCUGAAUCAGUGUGUGUGUUAGUGGAAGCGUCUGGAAAGGCGCGCGAUACAGGGUGACAGCCCCGUACACAAAAAUGCACAUGCUGUGAGCUCGAUGAGUAGGGCGGGACACGUGGUAUCCUGUCUGAAUAUGGGGGGACCAUCCUCCAAGGCUAAAUACUCCUGACUGACCGAUAGUGAACCAGUACCGUGAGGGAAAGGCGAAAAGAACCCCGGCGAGGGGAGUGAAAAAGAACCUGAAACCGUGUACGUACAAGCAGUGGGAGCACGCUUAGGCGUGUGACUGCGUACCUUUUGUAUAAUGGGUCAGCGACUUAUAUUCUGUAGCAAGGUUAACCGAAUAGGGGAGCCGAAGGGAAACCGAGUCUUAACUGGGCGUUAAGUUGCAGGGUAUAGACCCGAAACCCGGUGAUCUAGCCAUGGGCAGGUUGAAGGUUGGGUAACACUAACUGGAGGACCGAACCGACUAAUGUUGAAAAAUUAGCGGAUGACUUGUGGCUGGGGGUGAAAGGCCAAUCAAACCGGGAGAUAGCUGGUUCUCCCCGAAAGCUAUUUAGGUAGCGCCUCGUGAAUUCAUCUCCGGGGGUAGAGCACUGUUUCGGCAAGGGGGUCAUCCCGACUUACCAACCCGAUGCAAACUGCGAAUACCGGAGAAUGUUAUCACGGGAGACACACGGCGGGUGCUAACGUCCGUCGUGAAGAGGGAAACAACCCAGACCGCCAGCUAAGGUCCCAAAGUCAUGGUUAAGUGGGAAACGAUGUGGGAAGGCCCAGACAGCCAGGAUGUUGGCUUAGAAGCAGCCAUCAUUUAAAGAAAGCGUAAUAGCUCACUGGUCGAGUCGGCCUGCGCGGAAGAUGUAACGGGGCUAAACCAUGCACCGAAGCUGCGGCAGCGACACUAUGUGUUGUUGGGUAGGGGAGCGUUCUGUAAGCCUGCGAAGGUGUGCUGUGAGGCAUGCUGGAGGUAUCAGAAGUGCGAAUGCUGACAUAAGUAACGAUAAAGCGGGUGAAAAGCCCGCUCGCCGGAAGACCAAGGGUUCCUGUCCAACGUUAAUCGGGGCAGGGUGAGUCGACCCCUAAGGCGAGGCCGAAAGGCGUAGUCGAUGGGAAACAGGUUAAUAUUCCUGUACUUGGUGUUACUGCGAAGGGGGGACGGAGAAGGCUAUGUUGGCCGGGCGACGGUUGUCCCGGUUUAAGCGUGUAGGCUGGUUUUCCAGGCAAAUCCGGAAAAUCAAGGCUGAGGCGUGAUGACGAGGCACUACGGUGCUGAAGCAACAAAUGCCCUGCUUCCAGGAAAAGCCUCUAAGCAUCAGGUAACAUCAAAUCGUACCCCAAACCGACACAGGUGGUCAGGUAGAGAAUACCAAGGCGCUUGAGAGAACUCGGGUGAAGGAACUAGGCAAAAUGGUGCCGUAACUUCGGGAGAAGGCACGCUGAUAUGUAGGUGAAGUCCCUCGCGGAUGGAGCUGAAAUCAGUCGAAGAUACCAGCUGGCUGCAACUGUUUAUUAAAAACACAGCACUGUGCAAACACGAAAGUGGACGUAUACGGUGUGACGCCUGCCCGGUGCCGGAAGGUUAAUUGAUGGGGUCAGCGCAAGCGAAGCUCUUGAUCGAAGCCCCGGUAAACGGCGGCCGUAACUAUAACGGUCCUAAGGUAGCGAAAUUCCUUGUCGGGUAAGUUCCGACCUGCACGAAUGGCGUAAUGAUGGCCAGGCUGUCUCCACCCGAGACUCAGUGAAAUUGAACUCGCUGUGAAGAUGCAGUGUACCCGCGGCAAGACGGAAAGACCCCGUGAACCUUUACUAUAGCUUGACACUGAACAUUGAGCCUUGAUGUGUAGGAUAGGUGGGAGGCUUUGAAGUGUGGACGCCAGUCUGCAUGGAGCCGACCUUGAAAUACCACCCUUUAAUGUUUGAUGUUCUAACGUUGACCCGUGAUCCGGGUUGCGGACAGUGUCUGGUGGGUAGUUUGACUGGGGCGGUCUCCUCCUAAAGAGUAACGGAGGAGCACGAAGGUUGGCUAAUCCUGGUCGGACAUCAGGAGGUUAGUGCAAUGGCAUAAGCCAGCUUGACUGCGAGCGUGACGGCGCGAGCAGGUGCGAAAGCAGGUCAUAGUGAUCCGGUGGUUCUGAAUGGAAGGGCCAUCGCUCAACGGAUAAAAGGUACUCCGGGGAUAACAGGCUGAUACCGCCCAAGAGUUCAUAUCGACGGCGGUGUUUGGCACCUCGAUGUCGGCUCAUCACAUCCUGGGGCUGAAGUAGGUCCCAAGGGUAUGGCUGUUCGCCAUUUAAAGUGGUACGCGAGCUGGGUUUAGAACGUCGUGAGACAGUUCGGUCCCUAUCUGCCGUGGGCGCUGGAGAACUGAGGGGGGCUGCUCCUAGUACGAGAGGACCGGAGUGGACGCAUCACUGGUGUUCGGGUUGUCAUGCCAAUGGCACUGCCCGGUAGCUAAAUGCGGAAGAGAUAAGUGCUGAAAGCAUCUAAGCACGAAACUUGCCCCGAGAUGAGUUCUCCCUGACUCCUUGAGAGUCCUGAAGGAACGUUGAAGACGACGACGUUGAUAGGCCGGGUGUGUAAGCGCAGCGAUGCGUUGAGCUAACCGGUACUAAUGAACCGUGAGGCUUAACCU